rnacentral:tRNA from 1 species
UAGAGAUAAUAAGUCGAAGCUGCUAACUUUGACUUGGGAUAGAAAUUAUUCCGUCUCUAU